UCAAAUAUGUGUUUUGUUGCACCAAUAGUCCUUUCGUCAAGUUCUUUUAAAUUUUCUGUCAAAAGUGAGGGUAAAUUCGGAAAUUCAUCCACAAUCCUCCUUAUCCUCCACAACUUCAAAAUUUAUAAAUUUGGAAAUUUGGAAAUUCAAAUUGAAUAUCAAAUAAUAAAAAUUCCCACAGGUCUACUACACAAAACUUCAAAACCCUAACCCACCAACCCCUCUUCCCUCUCAACCUCUAGAUGGUUUGCAAACUGACAGCGAACCGAGUCUAAGAAAGAUUCCUCUUGUGUUGAACCUAUGGUUCAACCUUCCAUUCUUGUUCCUUUGGGGAGGUGCAAAGAUUCAUCAUUUCAGUACUUACCUUUUUUCAUUUUUGUUUCAAAAGUCUAUAAAUUUUAGCACCCAUGAGUCAGAUUUAGUGGCUCUUGCAAAAGUGUUGGGUUUUAAAUUGGUGUAUUUGAAUUGGGUUCGAAGAUUAUGGAAGACCGAUGUGAUUUAGGAGAAGGGUUGGUCUCGAUACCCAGAUGGGAUUCAAAGGUUGGUUCUUUUUCCGGCGCGUAUUUUUUGGGUUGUUUUAGAUUGUUG
rnacentral:lncRNA from 1 species